rnacentral:rRNA from 1 species
UACGUAGGCAGCGAGCGUUGUUCGGAGUUACUGGGCGUAAAGGGUGUGUAGGCGGUUUUCUAAGUUUGGUGUGAAAUCUCCCGGCUCAACCGGGAGGGUGCGCCGAAAACUGGGAGACUAGAGUGCGGGAUGGGAGAGUAGAAUUCCUGGUGUAGCGGUGAAAUGCGUAGAUAUCAGGAGGAACACCAGUGGCGAAGGCGGUGGUCUGGGCCGGUACUGACGCUGUAGAGCGAAAGCGUGGGGAGCGAACAGG